GACGAACGCUGGCGGCGUGCUUAACACAUGCAAGUCGAACGGAAAGGCCCUGCUUUUGUGGCGUGCUCGAGUGGCGAACAGGUGAGUAACACGUGAGUAACCUGCCCUUGACUUUGGGAUAUCUUCAGGAAACUGGGGCUAAUACCGGAUAGGAGCUCCUGCUGCAUGGUGGGGGUUGGAAAGUUUCGGCGGUUGGGGAUGGACUCGCGGCUUAUCAGCUUGUUGGUGGGGUAGUGGCUUACCAAGCCUUUGACGGGUAGCCGGCCUGAGAGGGUGACCGGCGACAUUGGGACUGAGAUACGGCCCAGAAUCCUACGGGAGGCAGCAGUGGGGAAUAUUGCGCAAUGGGCGGAAGCCUGAUGCAGCAACGCCGCGUGCGGGAUGACGGCCUUCGGGUUGUAAACCGCUGUCGCCUGUGACGAAGCGUGAGUGACGGUAAUGGGUAAAGAAGCACCGGCUAACUACGUG
rnacentral:rRNA from 1 species